rnacentral:rRNA from 1 species
GAUGAACGCUGACAGAAUGCUUAACACAUGCAAGUCAUUGGCGAAGCUGCGCUUGCGCAGUCUAGCCAAGGCGGACGGGUGAGUAACGCGUAAGGAACUUGCCCUGCAGACAGGGAUAACAGACGGAAACGACUGAUAACACCUGGUAUUGUCAGGCUGGCGCAUGCCGGCCUGAUGAAAGGAGACGCUGCAGGAGAGCCUUGCGUCCUAUUAGCUAGUUGGUGGGGUAACGGCCCACCAAGGCGAUGAUAGGUAGCCGGCCUGAGAGGGUGAACGGCCACAAGGGGACUGAGAUACGGCCGUUACUCCUACGGGAGGCAGCAGUGGGGAAUAUUGGACAAUGGGGGCAACCCUGAUCCAGCAAUUCUGUGUGCACGAAGAAGGUUUUCGGAUUGUAAAGUGCUUUCAGCAGGGAAGAAGAAAGUGACGGUACCUGCAGAAGAAGCGACGGCUAAAUACGUG